UUUAUGGAGAGUUUGAUCCUGGCUCAGGAUGAACGCUGGCGGCGUGCCUAAUACAUGCAAGUCGAGCGAACGGACGAGAAGCUUGCUUCUCUGAUGUUAGCGGCGGACGGGUGAGUAACACGUGGAUAACCUACCUAUAAGACUGGGAUAACUUCGGGAAACCGGAGCUAAUACCGGAUAAUAUUUUGAACCGCAUGAUUCAAAAGUGAAAGACGGUCUUGCUGUCACUUAUAGAUGGAUCCGCGCUGCAUUAGCUAGUUGGUAAGGUAACGGCUUACCAAGGCAACGAUGCAUAGCCGACCUGAGAGGGUGAUCGGCCACACUGGAACUGAGACACGGUCCAGACUCCUACGGGAGGCAGCAGUAGGGAAUCUUCCGCAAUGGGCGAAAGCCUGACGGAGCAACGCCGCGUGAGUGAUGAAGGUCUUCGGAUCGUAAAACUCUGUUAUUAGGGAAGAACAUAUGUGUAAGUAACUGUGCACAUCUUGACGGUACCUAAUCAGAAAGCCACGGCUAACUACGUGCCAGCAGCCGCGGUAAUACGUAGGUGGCAAGCGUUAUCCGGAAUUAUUGGGCGUAAAGCGCGCGUAGGCGGUUUUUUAAGUCUGAUGUGAAAGCCCACGGCUCAACCGUGGAG
rnacentral:rRNA from 1 species